rnacentral:rRNA from 1 species
CCUACGGGUGGCAGCAGUGGGGAAUCUUGCACAAUGGGGGAAACCCUGAUGCAGCGACGCCGCGUGAGUGAAGAAGUAUUUUGGUAUGUAAAGCUCUAUCAGCAGGGAAGAAAAUGACGGUACCUGACUAAGAAGCCCCGGCUAACUACGUCCCAGCAGCCGCGGGAAUGCGAAUGGGGCAAGCGUUAUCCGGAUUUACUGGGAGUAAAGGGUGCGUAGGCUGUGAGGUAAGUCAGCGGGGGAAUGCCCCCGCUCAAGGGGGUGAAGUGCCAAUGAUACUGCCUUACUAGAAUGCGGAUGCCGUAGGAGGAAUGUGUGGUGUAGCAGUGAAAUGCGUAGAUAUCACGCAGAACACCGAUUGCGAAGGCAUCUCACGAGUCCGCGAUUGACGCUGAUGCACGAAGGCGAGGGUAUCAAACAGGAUUAGAUACCCCUGUAGUC